rnacentral:rRNA from 1 species
UACGUAGGGUGCGAGCGUUAAUCGGAAUUACUGGGCGUAAAGCGUGCGCAGGCGGUGAUGUAAGACAGGUGUGAAAUCCCCGGGCUUAACCUGGGAACUGCAUUUGUGACUGCAUCGCUGGAGUGCGGCAGAGGGGGAUGGAAUUCCGCGUGUAGCAGUGAAAUGCGUAGAUAUGCGGAGGAACACCAGUGGCGAAGGCGGCCUUCUGGACCAGUACUGACGCUCAUGCACGAAAGCGUGGGGAGCAAACAGG